CUCUGGUUAGCUCAGUUGGUAGAGCGCUCCACUUGUAAUGGAGAGGUCCCGGGUUCGAUACCUGGACCAGGCG
rnacentral:tRNA from 2 species